GGAAUAGCUCAAAUGGUAAAGCACAUGAUUAGCAUGCAUGAGGGCCUGGGUUCAAUCCCCAGUACUUCCU
rnacentral:tRNA from 1 species